UGGCAUGAGGUCUCAAUGGCGGGACGCCUGGCUGUUAACCAGGAGGUGGUGGGUUCGAUCCCCACCUUGCCAGCCA
rnacentral:tRNA from 1 species